rnacentral:lncRNA from 1 species
UCCUAUCUGCAUCUCAUCCCCAUGUAAUUGAUAACUUGGCGGCGCUGCCGCAUGACAACGCUGACAAACAAGCUCAAGGCAAGGAUGAAAAGGAGAUUUCAACCCCGAAAAGGAACAAGUCUCCGCCUGCCACAGUGCAAUCCAUUAUCCACCAGCCCGCGCUUUCACCUACUGUCUCCUCCAGCUCUCUUAGUGAGGGGCUCACGUCCGAUUUCCAGGAGUUUACGGCCUCAUAUCAGGGUCUACGUGCAAAAUCAGGCAGAAAACAAGAAGAAACCCUGACCGUUACCGAAAUGAAACCGGAGAGAAACAGGGAACAAGAGACAUCUGUAAAACAAGUGAGCACCGUGCCCCCACAUUUGAAAUCGCAUCCUAGUCUCACAGCAAACUUCAAAACCACAUUUCUUCUUCACCGACCUUUGGAGGUCAGCGGCGGGUCAGUGAGUAACACACCUGUCAUCGCUGCAGCCGCCCUCAGCUCUCAGAAAAGUGUUUUCCACCGCGGCGGUGAUCACAGCGCUGCAUCACAACCAACCGCGCGAAUGAGCUUGAUUGAAGCUCAUAGGACAGCAGUAGCCUUUAGCUUCGGCGAGCCGACCACUUCUGCAGUCAAAGACCCUGAGUCUCACUCUCUGACAGGAGGAGCUGCGUCUUUGAUCUCCGCAUUGAGGAGCCAAACGCCUGCUAAACCAAGCGCUCACACCAAAGAGCUCACGCUGACUUUCUUACCAAAGGAUGCUGCCAUCCAGUUUACAUCCGCAGCCACAAAGACGCAGGACUCGCCCACAUUUACCACUUUAAACAGCAUUGUUCAACAGCCCAGUGUUUAUCCCUCAGGCCCUGCGGAAAAAACAACGAUGGAAGAACCACAAUUUCCAACCUUUACAACCCCAGAAAGCGACGCGCCUGUGACACUCCUCUCAGGAUCAAGACAGGAGCCAGAUGAUGUCGCAUCCAUGUUGACACUAACCCCGGUAUUAAGAAAGUCAUCCUCUGGGAGAUUGACAAUGCAUAGAUUUUCUGAGGCUCAGUCAAAAAUCACUCAGGAGAAAACUUUAGAUGUGACAACACCCCCGUUUUUUGCACGACACAACACAGGUUUAGGCAGAGAGUCGCAAAUAGUCCACAAUCUGAAGCUGGGAGAUAAGAGCGAGCGGGUUUGGAAUUUAGCUACAGAAGAUCAGGACGUUAUCGAGCACGGGGAGGGAAUGACAGACAGCAGAGAGAGGCAGGAGUCACAGAGUGAGGAGGAUAAUGAGUCAAGGAACAGGACAGAGGAAUUAUUCAACUUGGACAAGUUAGAAAGAGGAAGUGAGGACAGGGAGAGGCAGAACAUAGAAGAGGAUGCUGAAAGAAAAGACACCACUAUGAUAAACACUGGAAACCUCACAGGAAACCAUUCUGCUGCUGCUGCUGCUGCUGCUGCUGCUGCAAACCCGGGAGGGUGUUUGACAAAAGGAGGAGCAGACGCCAGACGAGAGGAAACAGCAACAGAGAAAGACCUUCUACAUAACGGGAAAAUUGGGAGAGAGGAUGUGACAAAUGUUCCCCCAGGGGCUAAUACUGAUUCUGAGGAACUUAACAGAGACAAAGGGCACACUGUUAUAAACUCUUCUCCCUGCCACGGUUUGAUUAAACGGUUGGAGGCCACGGAGCAAAAGGGCAUUUAUCUGGCUGGAAACACGGCACGGAACGUGGAAAUGAAAAAUAAGGCAUUUUCCUACAAAGUGACAAGCAAUCACGCGCAACUAGCCUCAAGUCUGAGAUCAAGACCGACGGCCCGGUUCGACGCCCGUCCGCCCCCCCACGGGGCUGUGAUUGCAAAGCCCGGAGACACGUCUGCACUCACUGCGAGCGCUCAGAACAAAGUUCCUCAAGAUACUUUCUCCGUCGCCACCGUCCACAAAACGGUCCCAAAACGCGCGUCAGGAGCCGGGGCUUUAAAGCUCGUUGAUGCGUGGGAGCCAACGGAACCGGCUGAUCCGGUGCCAAACAGUUUCAGUAAUAUGACGUCGCUCGCAGCUGGGUUCCUGAAAGCUCAGCCCCACAUUACGGUGAAUAGUUCUGCUCUCAGCUCAUCAAUCAUUCACAGCAUCUCGAAUCAUAGGCGUGAAUUCAGGUUGCCGGUCUCUGAGUCAGAUUCACUCAUACAGGCCAUGAAUGGACUAGAGCAUAUAUAUGAAUCUAGAGUCAAGGAGCCUUUAACCUCUAACUUGACUCACGAUGUAAAUGCAUCUACGUCCGUGAACCCUGCUGCGCCUCAGCACAUGUACAGCGCCUCAUCCACCCGGCCACUCGCGGCCGAGACCUCGUCAUCGGAGGCCCGCGUCUCCGCGGGUCGGCCUCGUCAAGGGCAGCCUGCCGCUCAGACCUCCCCCGCCCCCCCCUUCCACAUGACUCCAGGCCACAAGUGCUCAUUUCAGCUGUCAGCUCAUUCACAUGCUCGGCAUCCUCCUGUUGAUGAUAACAGGCAGCGACCUGCACGGACCCUAAUGGCAACAAUGAGCCCUAAAGCGAAGCACGAUCAAUUAUCUCCCAGCAGCGCGUCCGUCCGCCUUAAUUCCUCGCUGUUAGGAGCUGACGGCUCACCUGGCGCCUACAGCCUGACAGCGAUAACAGGAUCAGGCUCCGAGGAGGAGACGCUGGAGGACGGGUAUGCAAACAAUGGGAGCGGCCAUGCGGAGUCGCGUCUAAGCCACGCUUGGGACACAAAUCACACAGAGAAGAACGUCGGCGCGCAAUCAAGCGCGUCCGCGGCGGCCGAACAUCCAGAUGUGGUGACAAAGCAAAUGAAGCCAAGCACGGACGGCGCUGACGACUUCAGCCCCGUGUCAGCGAGCCAGACUGACGAACUAGCAGCAGAAAGCGUUAAUGACAAAGACCACAAUAACCCAUUUAACAUAGAUCGGCCCGACGCUGCGGACAAAGAGGUGAAAUCAACCCUGAGCAAUAACCAUCUAUCCCAGUUAGGAGGCCAUAAUGAAAGAAGCACUCAGCCCACCCACAGGACUGAACAGGCUCAGCCGCUCCUGCCUGUUCCCAGCGACUUGGCCUCGUUUGAGCCCGAUCCAAAUGAUGGCGCUGAGAGCGCAGCAUUUCCUGAGCCAGAUGACUUGGUGCCUGAAAUGCCCCAAAUAAAUGCUAAUUACGCGAUGACCCGUGCUUAUUUGGAGGCAGGGAGCGUUGCAGCGGAAAUACCUGGAAGGCAAAACGUUGGCGACAGCGCUGUUGCUGUUCCACAGAGUGGUUCCAGAAGUGAUCUAAAGGUUUCCAAUACGUCCACACAGCAGCCUGGCAACCAGGUAUCGGACGCUGCAUCUGAACUUCAGAUAAUCACUACCACGGACAAUGACUUUGUGUCUCUGGCCGCUCGGAUAGAUGGUCCCAAACCCAGAGAAUCUCAGGAAUUAGAGCUGACGAGUGAGAAAGCUACUGGGAAGUCUUUCCCGGUUGGACGUGCUGAGCGUAGGGUAUGGAUCAAUAGAACAUCUGGGCCUGGGCACAGAACAUCUGCCCCACCCGGCGCCCCGGCAGCGACACAUCCUGUUACUGUGCAUCGGUUCAACGGUGGGCCACAGGACGGGAAACAUGCAGAACCUGGAAAGGGGACACCACCAUCUGCCAAAGUCAGCGGUGCCGCGGUUUCACCGGUCACCAGGACAUCUGAUGUCGCCACUGUUGAUAGGUUUACGAGAGAAAAUGCCACGAGGACGACAGAUAAACCUUCAGCAAAAACACUGGGGGCCUUUGUUGAUGUGGGCCGUUUGACACGCGAGACCGCAGAGAAAACUAGACAAAGACGCUCUCACACAGAAGCUCAAAGGUUUAAUACAACGGAGGCGACACUGCUCGACUGGACUCCGCUCACCGAGACCAACGGGGAAACACAAACAAGGGUGGGGGCGGAAGAGGGUGACGGCGCCCAAAGCGCCGUGAGGUCAGUGAACGCGACACCAGUUCAAGAGUCUGGGCGCAGGCUGUUACUGGAGCCAGGACCUGAGCCGGAGCUGCCAGCACUGAAGCACAGGAGACGGACCCCACCUCAUCUGUAUCUCUCUGGUGUGACAGAGGUUACAGAGGACCUGUGUGGCAGUGGAAACUACACAGCGGAGAUGAGUCUGAACCUGGGCAGAGACGUGGAACCCGGCGACGCUGUGCCGGUUCUGGGGAACCUCCGAGUCAGCAUCAACCUGAAGACCAACAGCAGCCUGAUCAACCUGGAGGUCACCUCCUGCUGCCUGUCCCCGACCGUGCAGCCUGACCUCACCAGCUCCACCUGCUGCCUCUUCUCCAGGUUAGCAGCCGAGCCAGUGGGGAUCACGCUGCUGCCCAGCGCCUUGUCAACCAGUGCCAGCUUCACCAUCAGUCUCUUCCAAAUGAUUAAUUACUCGGCGGUGUACUUACACUGCGAUCUGAGCGUCUGCCUGAGGAACCGCUCCGACUGCGAAAGGGAGUGCCCCGAGCGGCGCAGUGCGUUUCCCGCGGAGGGUCCAGAUGCUAUUGUUACCAAUCUCAGAAAUCGCAUAUCCUUCGGUCCCAUGUUGAAAGAAGUGAGGAAUGCCACCUUCCUGGAGGAGAUAGGGCCGUCCGAGCUGGACCUGGCUCUGGUCAUCGUCAGCCUGGUGGUGGGCUCCGGCCUCGUCACCGCCGCGCUGCUGCUGGUCUGGCUGGCCUACCGGCGCCGGGCCAUCUGGCCCCUCCGCCCCGCGGCUGCACCGCCGGCCGCCUGCUGCAGCUGCAUGCGCCCGGGGGGCGAGCGCGUCCUGCCGUGA